ACUAACUUUACUUCCAGUCUCUGUUUGUUUAAUGGUCUGGCUAGUGGCUAAACUGAACUAUGGAACAAAUACCUCGUCGAAAAUAACAAUUUGGUUUCCUAAAGACAAGGGGAGACGGUUAUCAUGGAUCACCGCUAAGGGAGGUUUGGCAGCCGAUCUGUAGUUAACAUUGGAUAGGCUACAUUAACUUUACACGAUAACGUUAGCUCAGUGUAGUUUUCGAUAUGCUUUAGCUAUGAUUACUAAGGUAAUGUACUUCUUGUUUAUUUUGCUCGGAAAUACUCUAUUGCUCUAAAUACUUAAAGGACUCUAUUGUUAUUGAUUAUUUCCAUAAGUUUACCGGAAGUUGCGUUUGUUUAUGUUGUUACUUCUGAAACCGUAUGGAACACAACAUCAUGAUUGGACCAUUGUAUUAGCACAGAUGCACAUGCCUCGCUGAGGGGUAUGAGUAUUUUAUAUGGUACAGUAACAACUGAUCACAUAGGCUACCUGUGUCUAUUGUGAUAAAUGUUGAGUUUCUUGUAGCAAUGAUUAAUAAUGAAAAUAAUAUAAAUGCCGCAAAAAUAGAUUGGUCAGUUAAAUAGGGAAGUAAGAGGACAGCCAGUUUUACUUGCCUUUUGAUUCAUGGUUUGUUACCAGACUUUGUGUUGUUUGUUCUGUUAGUGACAGUUAUUAAGAUCAAAGCUAGAAUGGUAGCAAUUUAGAUAAUUUAUAUAUCAAUAGCUUUAUCUAGUAUCCUGUCUAAAGUGUUGGAAAAAAUCUUGUGUUUUUUAUUUCUACAGACAACCAGUUUGGAUUUAAGGCUAAACAUGAUACUGAUCUUUGCAUCUAUGCAUUAAAGGAAAUAGUAAACAAGUAUAGCGAUAAAAACUCAUCAGUCUUUAUGAGCUUCAUUGAUGCAUCUAAAGCUUUUGAUCAGGUUAACCAUGGAAAGUUAUUUUUUAAAAUGAGACAAAGAGGGGUGUCAGAAUAUAUUGUGAGAUGAUGCAAGUAAAAUGGGGCAGACAUAAAGUCUCUGCCCUUUUUGGGGUUAGCAAUGGUGUUAAUCUUUACACGGAUGAUCUAUCUGAAUGUUUGAAUGCUUGUAAAACUGGGUGUAUGAUUGGGAAUAUUUUGAUUAUGGUCUUGAACAUGAUAUUUAAUUUAAUCUUCCUCUUGAUAAGACUGCUGUUACGAUUUGCAGAACUAAGGAUGUCUAAUAAGAAUCUUAGUGUGUCCGCGAAAGUAGUAAAAUACCUUGGACAUUUCAUUAAAGAACGCAUGACAGAUGAUGAGGAUAUUGAAAGACAACGGCGUAUGAUGUAUAUCCAAGCGAAUAUACUUUUACAUAAGAUUAGUUUCUGUUCAGAUGAGGUGAAUGUGUCACUUUUUAAAGCAUAUUGUACAACAUUUUAUACUGCUCAUCUGUGGUUCAACUAAUAUUGAACAUCUAGCACAGAAACUGCAGGUAGCUUAAUGAUGCAAUGAGAAUUCAACUAAAGAGACCCACAGAGUAGAUGACAUAGUGAAAGUGAAAUGUUUGUGAGUGCUAGAGUACUUUUAAAGCACUUUUACGGAAUCUUAUGUAUAGAUUUAUCUGCCGGCUAAAUGAUAAAAAAUGAGAUUAUUGUGGGUCUAUCAAAUAUAGGAGUUAGUACUACGUACACGGUAUCAGUCAAAACUGUGGAGACAUUGGUAUUGUUGCAUUUUGUAACUUUUUAUUGUGUGUGUGUGUGUGGUGGAUGCUGUGGGUUGUUUAUGUCUUAUUGUCUUGUUUUUUCUUUUUUUAUCUUGACCUUGAGUCUGUAAAAAAAUUGAUUGAUUGAUAAAAACCAAGCGCAGGCAGUCACUCACACAAUUCAGUGGUUGUCUGAGCGGAUGCAAAGAAAGAGACAAGACUUUUCCAAAAAUCAGAAAAGGGCAGCAUCGAUGAGAGGAAGGUGCCAAUGGACUGGAUGUCGGCGUUUGCAGCGACCGUUUUCCCAACUUGAAUUACACUGUAAAGUGGGAUUCGUUGCUCCACGCUAUUGGAAAGUUCAUAAAGGUGUCUCUUAUAAACAACGUUGACAACAGUCUAAAAGGUUAGACACAAAUGUGCUGGACUCUACACAGGACUAAGCAGAUGACACCAGACCUCAGACUUAAUAAAUGAUUGUAAUCUAAUUAUGCUGUGCAAGCGUUACAUUCUGUGUCACUUAAGAUGAAUAUAGUUGAUAAAUGAUGAAGCCUUUCCUGUGAUUUUAUAAAGACUCUUAAUAUGUUCAGCUGGUUUCACCAAACCUUCUAAAACAAAUAAAUAAAAUUUGCCUCUUUAAA